CCUUAUGUCAUGUAGUCAGGUAGUUGUUGAUACCAAGUGCUCCUUGUGUAUGUCUUGUGUAAUCUUGUGUCAAAAGGGGACAAAGAGGCCAUUAUGUCAUGUCCUUGUGUAUGCCUUGUCUGCAGAUGCUGGAUUUGAGGGAAACUGGUGUAAAAGAGCUACCAUCCAGUAUUGUUAAGCUUACAAAAUUGAGGUGUCUGCUUAUUAACAGAUCCAAAGAAGUGCCAGAUAAGAUUAUUGGGAAACUACAUGCUCUAGAGGCUGGUUAGUUGAAUUUGUUUUUGAUAAGAAUAAACUUAAAGGACAAGAAACUUCACUGGAACUAAAACUGAAUUUGUGAUACACACAACAAACAUAACUUUUCUGCAAUUCUCUAUGUAAUUCGAAAAGAGGCUAAUUUGUUAGAGCAGAGUAAACCUUGGAGAGGCCCUUGAGAUUGGUCUUGCCAUGUGCAUCCUCCAGCACCAGGGCCUCCUGCUCCUUGGGCUACAGCAGAUCGAAGAAGCAACACCAGCACUUCCAUCCCACUUAUCUGAAGAAGCAACACCAACACUUACAGGACAAAGAACAGAGACAGAACCAUGAUGUUCAGCAAGCAAGCACGCACGCACCUCUCCUGCAUCCAUCCCAAUGCACUGGGUGUCAAUGGCCGC
rnacentral:lncRNA from 1 species